GAUGAACGCUAGCUACAGGCUUAACACAUGCAAGUCGCGGGGCAGCAUGGGGGUUGCUUGCAAUCCCCGAUGGCGACCGGCGCACGGGUGAGUAACGCGUAUCCAACCUGCCCUUCACCACGGGAUAACCCGGCGAAAGUCGGACUAAUACCGUAUGUUGUCCAUUGACGGCAUCCGAUUUGGACGAAAGGCUUGGCGGUGAGGGAUGGGGAUGCGUCCGAUUAGCCGGACGGCGGGGUAACGGCCCACCGUGGCUACGAUCGGUAGGGGUUCUGAGAGGAAGGUCCCCCACACUGGAACUGAGACACGGUCCAGACUCCUACGGGAGGCAGCAGUGAGGAAUAUUGGUCAAUGGGCGUAAGCCUGAACCAGCCAAGUAGCGUGCAGGAUGACGGCCCUAUGGGUUGUAAACUGCUUUUAUGCGGGGAUAAAGUGGCCCACGGGUGGGCUUUUGCAGGUACCGCAUGAAUAAGGACCGGCUAAUUCCGUG
rnacentral:rRNA from 1 species